GUGGGGAAUAUUGGACAAUGGGCGAAAGCCUGAUCCAGCCAUGCCGCGUGUGUGAAGAAGGUCUUCGGAUUGUAAAGCACUUUAAGUUGGGAGGAAGGGCAGUAAGUUAAUACCUUGCUGUUUUGACGUUACCGACAGAAUAAGCACCGGCUAACUCUGUGCCAGCAGCCGCGGUAAUACGAAUGGUGCAAGCGUUAAUCGGAAUUACUGGGCGUAAAGCGCGCGUAGGUGGUUUUGUAAGUUGGAGGUGAAAUCCCCGGGCUCAACCUGGGAACUGCCUCCAAAAAUGCAUGACUAGAGUACGGUAGAGGGUAGUGGAAUUUCCUGUGUAGCGGUGAAAUGCGUAGAUAUAGGAAGGAACACCAGUGGCGAAGGCGACUACCUGGACUGAUACUGACACUGAGGUGCGAAAGCGUGGGGAGCAAACAGGAUUAGAUACCCUUGUAGUCC
rnacentral:rRNA from 1 species